GGUUUGUGGCUUAGUGGUAGAGCGCUCGCCCAGCACAUGCAAGGCCCUGGGUUCAAUCCCCAACACCA
rnacentral:tRNA from 1 species